rnacentral:sRNA from 1 species
GCAAGGCCUGCGUUUUGUUUCACACGAAAUUGAAAUCUGCACGUGUGCGAGCGCUUUACUGAACGAGAACGGGCCGUUGGCAUUUGACGCCGGUGACGCGCACGUCGGCCUCGCCGACGCGCACGCCGACCAGGA